rnacentral:tRNA from 1 species
GGAGGUUGGCUCAAUGUUAGAGUGCUUGCCUAACAUGCAUGAGGCCCUGGGUUCGAUUCCUCAGCUCCA